AAUAGAUACCCCGGUAGUCCACGCCGUAAACGAUGAGUGCUAAGUGUUAGAGGGUUUCCGCCCUUUAGUGCUGCAGCAAACGCAUUAAGCAUUCCGCCUGGGGAGUACGGCCGCAAGGCUGAAACUCAAAGGAAUUGACGGGGGCCCGCACAAGCGGUGGAGCAUGUGGUUUAAUUCGAAGCAACGCGAAGAACCUUACCAGGUCUUGACAUCCUCUGCCACUCCUAGAGAUAGGACGUUCCCCUUCGGGGGACAGAGUGACAGGUGGUGCAUGGUUGUCGUCAGCUCGUGUCGUGAGAUGUUGGGUUAAGUCCCGCAACGAGCGCAACCCUUGAUCUUAGUUGCCAGCAUUCAGUUGGGCACUCUAAGGUGACUGCCGGUGACAAACCGGAGGAAGGUGGGGAUGACGUCAAAUCAUCAUGCCCCUUAUGACCUGGGCUACACACGUGCUACAAUGGAUGGUACAAAGGGUCGCAAAACCGCGAGGUCGAGCCAAUCCCACAAAACCAUUCUCAGUUCGGAUUGCAGG
rnacentral:rRNA from 1 species